AGCGAAGCGGGAAGAGCUCAAAUUUAUAAUCUGGCACCUUCGGUGUCCGAGUUGUAAUCUCUAGAAAUGUUUUCCGCGUUGGACCGCACACAAGUCUGUUGGAAUACAGCGGCAUAGUGGUGAGACCCCCGUAUAUGGUGCGGACGCCCAGCGCUUUGUGAUACAUUUUCGAAGAGUCGAGUUGUUUGGGAAUGCAGCUCAAAUUGGGUGGUAAAUUCCAUCUAAAGCUAAAUAUUGGCGAGAGACCGAUAGCGAACAAGUACCGUGAGGGAAAGAUGAAAAGCACUUUGGAAAGAGAGUUAACAGUACGUGAAAUUGUUGGAAGGGAAACGCUUGAAGUCAGACUUGCUUGCCGAGCAAUCGGUUUGCAGGCCAGCAUCAGUUUUCCGGGAUGGAUAAUGGUAGAGAGAAGGUAGCAGUUUCGGCUGUGUUAUAGCUCUCUGCUGGAUACAUCUUGGGGGACUGAGGAACGCAGUGUGCCUUUGGCGGGGGUUUCGACCUCUUCACACUUAGGAUGCUGGUGGAAUGGCUUUAAACGACCCGUCUU
rnacentral:rRNA from 1 species